CACGUAGGCGGGUCUUUAAGUCGGGGUGAAGUCCUGGAGCUCAACUCCAGAACUGCCUUCGAUACUGAGGAUCUCGAGUCCGGGAGAGGUGAGUGGAACUCCGAGUGUAGAGGUGAAAUUCGUAGAUAUUCGGAAGAACACCAGUGGCGAAGGCGGCUCACUGGCCCGGUACUGACGCUGAGGUGCGAAAGCGUGGGGAGCAAACA
rnacentral:rRNA from 1 species